AUUUUAGACAAAUUUUAGGUCCACACGGCUUGAGACAUGGGCGUGUGACUCAUCCAUAUGUGACACACGGUCUGGCAACACGGUCGUGUGUCUCCUAUAAGUUCCUUUGUUUGCAAGUCAGUGAGUUACACGGCAUGGCACACAGAUGUGAGGGGCUAUUUCGAGAGUUAUACAGCCUAACACACGGGCGUGUGACACAGUCAUGUGACCCUAC
rnacentral:lncRNA from 1 species